AUUAUUGAGGGGGGUUCGUUUACAUUAGGAAGUAGUUUUAUUUUAAAAAAGCAUUCUAUCUUUACGUCAUAUCCUGUUUGUCUCCCGACCCCAUUUUCUGCUAAGCUCUCUCUGCUUUAGCACGCACGUUGGAUUUGCUCGUGGCUAACAGCUGACGAUUGCAAACUACGUGUCUCCGCGUCUACGUUGAAUGUUCACCGUAGGAACGCGUGUGUGCUGGAAGCGGCUGCUUGUUGGAGAAGUCUGCUAAAGAACUUCUUAAGUUGACAUCAGCCCUUGUGUGGCAGCAUAUUUGCCCUUGGUAAGUACAAUUAAAAGUUAUUACAUACAGAUUUAUAAAUAUAGAUUUCAAUGAAGUUUAACUUGCUGAAUGCAAGUAUUUGAAAAAAAA